rnacentral:rRNA from 1 species
AACGCUAGCUACAGGCUUAACACAUGCAAGUCGAGGGGCAGCGGGAUUGAAGCUUGCUUCAAUUGCCGGCGACCGGCGCACGGGUGAGUAACGCGUAUCCAACCUUCCGUACACUCAGGGAUAGCCUUUCGAAAGAAAGAUUAAUACCUGAUGGUAUCUUAAGCACACAUGUAAUUAAGAUUAAAGAUUUAUCGGUGUACGAUGGGGAUGCGUUCCAUUAGGUAGUAGGCGGGGUAACGGCCCACCUAGCCUACGAUGGAUAGGGGUUCUGAGAGGAAGGUCCCCCACAUUGGAACUGAGACACGGUCCAAACUCCUACGGGAGGCAGCAGUGAGGAAUAUUGGUCAAUGGACGAGAGUCUGAACCAGCCAAGUAGCGUGAAGGAUGAAGGUCCUACGGAUUGUAAACUUCUUUUAUAAGGGAAUAAACCCUCCCACGUGUGGGAGCUUGUAUGUACCUUAUGAAUAAGCAUCGGCUAACUCCGUGCCAGCAGCCGCGGUAAUACGGAGGAUGCGAGCGUUAUCCGGAUUUAUUGGGUUUAAAGGGAGCGCAGACGGGUCGUUAAGUCAGCUGUGAAAGUUUGGGGCUCAACCUUAAAAUUGCAGUUGAUACUGGCGUCCUUGAGUGCAGUUGAGGUGUGCGGAAUUCGUGGUGUAGCGGUGAAAUGCUUAGAUAUCACGAAGAACUCCGAUUG